GAGCAAACAGGAUUAGAUACCCUGGUAGUCCACGCCGUAAACGAUGUCGACUUGGAGGUUGUUCCCUUGAGGAGUGGCUUCCGGAGCUAACGCGUUAAGUCGACCGCCUGGGGAGUACGGCCGCAAGGUUAAAACUCAAAUGAAUUGACGGGGGCCCGCACAAGCGGUGGAGCAUGUGGUUUAAUUCGAUGCAACGCGAAGAACCUUACCUACUCUUGACAUCCAGCGAACUUAGCAGAGAUGCUUUGGUGCCUUCGGGAACGCUGAGACAGGUGCUGCAUGGCUGUCGUCAGCUCGUGUUGUGAAAUGUUGGGUUAAGUCCCGCAACGAGCGCAACCCUUAUCCUUUGUUGCCAGCGAUUCGGUCGGGAACUCAAAGGAGACUGCCGGUGAUAAACCGGAGGAAGGUGGGGAUGACGUCAAGUCAUCAUGGCCCUUACGAGUAGGGCUACACACGUGCUACAAUGGCGCAUACAAAGAGAAGCGACCUCGCGAGAGCAAGCGGACCUCACAAAGUGCGUCGUAGUCCGGAUCGGAGUCUGCAACUCGACUCCGUGAAGUCGGAAUCGCUAGUAAUCGUGGAUCAGAAUGCCACGGGAAAACU
rnacentral:rRNA from 1 species